CUACGGGACGCUGCAGUGGGGAAUAUUGGACAAUGGGGGCAACCCUGAUCCAGCAAUGCCGCGUGUGUGAAGAAGGCCUGCGGGUUGUAAAGCACUUUCAAUAGGGAGGAAAAGCUUUGGGUUAAUACCCCGAAGUCUUGACGUUACCUUUAGAAGAAGCACCGGCUAACUCUGUGCCAGCAGCCGCGGUAAUACAGAGGGUGCGAGCGUUAAUCGGAAUUACUGGGCGUAAAGCGCGCGUAGGCGGUUUGAUAAGUCAGAUGUGAAAGCCCCGGGCUUAACCUGGGAACUGCAUUUGAUACUGUCAAACUAGAGUAUGGUAGAGGGUAGUAGAAUUCCUGGUGUAGCGGUGAAAUGCGUAGAUAUCAGGAGGAAUACCAGUGGCGAAGGCGGCUACCUGGACCAAUACUGACGCUGAGGUGCGAAAGCGUGGGGAGCAAACAGGAUUAGAUACCCUUGUAGUC
rnacentral:rRNA from 1 species